rnacentral:rRNA from 1 species
CCAAUAGCGUAUAUUAAGGUUGCUGCGGUUAAAAAGCUCGUAGUUGAAUUUCGGGAUUGACACAUCGGUCGUGCCUUAAGGGGUAUGAACUGGCGUAGCCAAUUCCUCACCUUCUGGUGAAUUGUGAUGCCUCUUUAACUGGGUGUUUCAAUGAACUAGGACUUUUACUUUGAAAAAAUUAGAGUGUUUAAAGCAGGCAUUAUUUGCUUGAAUACAUUAGCAUGGAAUAAUAAAAUAGGGCGGAUGAUUCUAUUUUGUUGGUUUCUAGGAUCACUGUAAUGAUUAAUAGGGAUAGUUGGGGGCAUUAGUAUUCAAUUGUCAGAGGUGAAAUUCUUGGAUUUAUUGAAGACUAACUACUGCGAAAGCAUUUGCCAAGGAUGUUUUCAUUAAUCAAGAACGAAAGUUAGGGGAUCGAAGACGAUCAGAUACCGUCGUAGUCUUAACCAUAAACUAUGCCGACUAGGAAUCAGACGAUGUUAAUUUUUUAAUGACUCGUUUGGCACCUUACG